GUACUUGCUUCGGCAGUAUAUAUAUUAAAAUUGGAACGAUACAAAGAAGAUUAGCAUAGCACUUGCGCAAGAGUGAUACGCAAAAUCGUGAAGGUUCCAUAUUUUUU